rnacentral:rRNA from 1 species
AGCGAACGCUGGCGGCAGGCCUAACACAUGCAAGUCGAACGAACCUUUCGGGGUUAGUGGCGGACGGGUGAGUAACACGUGGGAACGUGCCUUUAGGUUCGGAAUAACUCAGGGAAACUUGUGCUAAUACCGAAUGUGCCCUUCGGGGGAAAGAUUAAUCGCCUUUAGAGCGGCCCGCGUCUGAUUAGCUAGUUGGUUGAGGUAAUGGCUCACCAAGGCGACGAUCAGUAGCUGGUCUGAGAGGAUGAUCAGCCACAUUGGGACUGAGACACGGCCCAAACUCCUACGGGAAGCAGCAGUGGGGAAUCUUGCGCAAUGGGCGAAAGCCUGACGCAGCCAUGCCGCGUGAAUGAUGAAGGUCUUAGGAUUGUAAAAUUCUUUCACCGGGGGCGAUAAUGACGGUACCCGGAGAAGAAGCCCCGGCUAACUUCGUG